UUGCCCUAGUAACGGCGAGUGAAGCGGCAACAGCUCAAAUUUGAAAUCUGGCGUAAGCCCGAGUUGUAAUUUGUAGAGGAUGCUUCUGGGUAGCGGCCGGUCUAAGUUCCUUGGAACAGGACGUCAUAGAGGGUGAGAAUCCCGUAUGUGACUGGCUUGCACCCUCCACGUAGCUCCUUCGACGAGUCGAGUUGUUUGGGAAUGCAGCUCUAAAUGGGAGGUAAAUUUCUUCUAAAGCUAAAUACCGGCCAGAGACCGAUAGCGCACAAGUAGAGUGAUCGAAAGAUGAAAAGCACUUUGGAAAGAGAGUUAAAAAGCACGUGAAAUUGUUGAAAGGGAAGCGCCCGCAACCAGACUUUGCGGCGGUGUUCGGCCGGUCUUCUGACCGGUUUACUCGCCGCCGUGAGGCCAUCAUCGUCUGGGACCGCUGGAUAAGACCUGAGGAAUGUAGCUCCCUUCGGGGUGUGUUAUAGCCUCUGGUGAUGCAGCGCGUCUCGGGCGAGGUCCGCGCUUCGGCAAGGAUGAUGGCGUAAUGGUUGUCGGCGGCCCGUCUUGAAACACGGACCAAGGAGUCUAACAUCUAUGCGAGUGUUCGGGUGUCAAACCCCUACGCGUAAUGAAAGUGAACGGAGGUGGGAACUUUUUGUGCACCAUCGACCGAUCCUGAUGUCCUCGGAUGGAUUUGAGUAAGAGCAUAGCUGUUGGGACCCGAAAGAUGGUGAACUAUGCCUGAAUAGGGUGAAGCCAGAGGA
rnacentral:rRNA from 1 species